UCUCCAUAUGACCACAUCCAUGCCCAGCUGUAUUUCUUACAGACACAGUUAUGCAGUGUUCUACAGAUUCACCACCUCUCACAAACAAGGGCCUCUUGCUAUUUUUAGCUUCAGAAGGGCAGUUGUUUUCCCUGAACAUUUUCCAUUUUGUUUAGACUUCCUUGCAACAACUUUAAGGAAGACUCUCCUAAAGACUUGAGCUCUAAUAAAUGUAAGGUGAACUUCACUUGAUAACCGUAUGAAUGUUUCCACAGUAUUGGCACGACUAGGAUUCUGUAAAGCAUCUGGCCUGCUACUGUCAGCACCAUAUUUUACAGAAAAAAGUAUUAACGGUCAAGAAAACCCUCCUCCUGCCUCUCUGAAAGGUUAUACUACACAUCCAAUUGGUGUGGAUCCUAAUCUGUUGUAGGUUGAUGCAGGACUGAAUCUUAAGACCAUUUAUGCUGCUACAGGUAACAUUAGAAGGGACAAUGAUAGGAGUAUUUUCAAAGUAAUCAAGAGUACCUCUACUGCUCGCAAGACAUCUCUGAAAACAGAUCGCUGCUUUCUUUUGUCUACUUUGGCACGGUGCUUGUUUCCAUCUGUAGCCAGGGCCCUCAGUUUCUGUGUUAAAAGUUCCAUGUCUUCAUAAAAGAAAUCCUAGCCAGACGAAAGGAGAUGUUCCAGUUUCUGGUCUUCACACAAUUUUUCUCUAAGUGGUAAUACAUCAACUUUUCCCACAGUAUUGUCAUUUGGGAUCACAAGGCAUUUAUAAGGUAAAAUAAAUAUAUUAACUGUACUUAAAAAGUUAAGUGAUCAGGGUCCAGUUACCCAAGUGUGACCUGUUUGCACCUGCUGGUACAGUUGUCAGCUGAAGCAUUCAAUGUGGAGCUCCCUCAAUAUGACAGCAGCUGCCAACAAGGUCUCUUGUGAGGCCCUUGGAUUAUGGAACAAACGCCCCACUUGGCCUGCUAGUGCCUAGAUUUGUUAACCCUCUGGACAUGCUGUAGUGUUAUGUUCUCUGGCACUUGGAGUCGAGGAGAUGCUUACUGGCAUGGGAUAAUUAAGUUUUGGGGUGAUUGCGGAGAUACUGACAGUUGACUUAAGAUGUUUAAUGCCAUUUAUUACUGUUAAAUUAAGUUUGGAAAGGGAGCCCAGAGCUUACAAAGGGGACUUCUAAUUUUUUAAGACUAAAACUGAACAGUUUAUGGAGGCCAGAUUAAUUCCUAACCAACUACAAGUGCAUCGUUUUGUCUUUUUACCGAAUCCACAUUAUUUACAUUACUCUUUCAAAUGAUAGUUUUACUUUGAUAGCAUGCUAUUUGUGGCAUGGACCAGCUGUUCAUUUUUUAACUAUGCCUAAAACAGAACCCUGCACCUUAACUGCGGCUCCUAGGCACUACUCUAUUUUUAAUAGCUGUCUUCUGUGUGUUUCUAUUUCCUUCUUUGUCGUUGUAAUUUUUUAAUCUCAUUUUACUUCAGUGUCCUCCCAGUCUGCUCCAUAUACCACACCACACAAAUAUACUUAGUGUCAUCUGAUCCUGUGAUUAAGUUGGUAAAUUUAAGAGUGAAUACUGCAUGUAGUUUGAAAGAAUGAAUGCUAAAUAAGAGCAAGGAAUGUAGUAAAAAUCUUGCAUGAAUGGGAGUAGUGUAGAUAAGAUUAGCAUCAGAUGGGCUACGAGAACCCUUUUGUCAUAAAUUCUGCUUAUAAGCUACUGAACUGGAUAACUUGCAUAUGAACUGAAGUGCUUUUCUUAAAGGAAGUGUUUUAAGAUCUUAAA